CACUGAAACGAGGUUAUUCCCGCCAUUGAUCCAAUCCGGUACUGUUCCGACUUCAUACUUCUAUUUGAUUUUCAGUAUGGCCGAUUACCUAAUCACGGGGGGAACUGGUUACAUCCCCGACGAUGGCUUGACGGGUGCCCAGCUCUUUGGCGGCGGCGAUGGGAUGACUUACAAUGAUUUCCUCAUAUUACCUGGCUUUAUUGACUUCUCGUCUAACGAUGUGGACCUGACAUCUGCGUUGACCCGUAAGAUCACCCUGAAGUCUCCACUAGUGUCCUCACCGAUGGACACGGUCACUGAAGCUCAGAUGGCCAUUGGCCUAGCUUUAUGUGGUGGUAUCGGAAUCAUCCAUCAUAACUGUACCGCUGAGUUCCAGGCAAAUGAGGUCAGAAAGGUCAAGAAAUACGAACAGGGAUUUAUCCUUGACCCAGUGGUCAUGUCCCCAAGUCAUACAGUUUCUGAUAUUGUGCAAGCCAAGAGACAAUAUGGCUUCUCGGGUAUCCCCAUCACUGAGAAGGGACACAUGGGGGAGAAGCUGGUCGGCCUCGUCACGCAGCGGGACAUCGACUUCUUCACCAGGGACCAGUACCACACACCCAUCUCAGAGGUGAUGACCCCCUAUGAAGACCUGAUUGUGGCCCCAGCAGGUGUGACACUCAAAGAGGCCAAUGGAAUCUUACAGAAGAGCAAGAAAGGUAAACUCCCCAUUGUGAAUGAUCGAGAUGAGCUGGUGGCCCUCAUUGCCAGAACCGACACAAAGAAGAACCGAGAGUUUCCACUGGCAUCCAAGGAUGAGAGGAAGCAGUUGUUGGUCGGCGCUGCAGUCAGCACACACGAGGAGGACAAGGACCGCAUUGACCAGCUUGUGCAGGCAGGGGUGGACGUGGUUGUGUUGGAUUCCUCACAAGGCAACUCAAUAUUCCAGAUCAAUCUCAUUCGCUACCUUAAACAGAAGUACCAAGAUCUCCAAGUGAUCGGAGGCAAUGUUGUCACAGCAGCACAAGCAAAGAAUCUGAUAGAUGCUGGCGUCGACGGUCUGCGAGUCGGCAUGGGUAGCGGCUCCAUCUGCAUCACACAGGAAGUGAUGGCUGUAGGUCGUCCACAGGGUACUGCAGUCUACAAAGUUGCCGAGUAUGCUCGCCGAUUUGGAGUGCCAGUAGUUGCUGAUGGAGGCGUUUCAUCAGUGGGACAUAUCAUCAAAGCUUUGUCACUAGGAGCCUCCACAGUGAUGAUGGGCUCGUUACUGGCUGGCACAACAGAGGCUCCAGGAGAAUAUUUCUUCGCUGAUGGCGUGCGGUUAAAAAAAUAUCGUGGUAUGGGAUCUCUGGACGCCAUGGAGACUCAUCGGAGUAGUCAGAGUCGAUAUUUCAGCGAGAGUGAUAAAAUCAAAGUAGCGCAAGGUGUUUCAGGGUCCAUUGUUGACAAAGGCUCCAUCCAGAAGUUCGUUCCAUAUCUGAUAGCCGGGAUCAAACAUGGCUGCCAGGACAUUGGCGCCAAAAGUCUUUCCAUAUUAAGACAAGGGGGAUACUUUAGUUUUACAAGACACGUGGAGGAGGCAGAAGAUUUCUUUGCAGAAGUUUGGAAUUAUGAGAAGGUCGAUGAUGUAUUCAGGUGAACUCAAGUUUGAGAAGAGAACGACAUCUGCUCAGAUAGAGGGAGGUGUGCACGGCUUACACAACUAUGAGAAGAGGUUGUACUGAGCCAUAUUGCCUUCCAAACUGUCACGAUUAUCUUGCUCAACAUUGCCAUGCCGACAUGGGCCACAGUCAGGGUCAUCUCCAGGACAUAGCAGGGAAAAGGCUUUUACAAGCGGAUUAAUUUACUCUGGCCUCUCUCAGCAUUACUGUUUAAUUUGAACUGAAAAACUGAGUCAUGCAGAUCUGUGUUGGAGUGCUUGACAAAGUACUGGUUUCCUGACAACUAGUGACCAGAAAGCUGCUAGUUUCCAGACAACUCCAUCUGCUUUCAGCCUGUUUCGGAUCAGGUCUUACUCUGAUGCAAUACCGCUCUAUGUGAAGAACAGUCAUAGGAGGUCACGUGAGGUGAACUAAUCACCAAUUCAGUGACAACUGAAGCAGAGCAGCAUAUCUGAUUUCUGUAUAUUGAAAACAAACAUUAACAGUCAGUUCCAGCAGCUGUAUUUCAUACAUCCUCUCAUUUCUGAGUGCCAUGACAUCUACACCGAUAAGGGUGUACUAUCAAGGGUGUAUGUGUGUUUUCUCUAGGUUCUCUUUUUCGAUAAAACAAUUUCUGAAUUGAAAAAUUGUUUUUGAAAGCUGACAUCUGAUUGCCUUAAAUGGCAAGUAAAGUCAACAUUGCAACUUUGCAUAUUUUAAUACUUUAGUGCAUACUUAAUCACAAAUGCUUGACCAAAAUGAAAUUUGAAAAUUAUAUAGCAUAAAACAGAUGAUAAAAACCGACAUGUGAAAUCAUCACCAAAACGAAAAAUUCCACCAGAAAGGGAGAAGGUUUCAGCACUCUUUUACUUGGAUAUUUAAGUUCUUUCUACAAAUAUGAUGCCUUUUUUCUAUCCUUGAAGUUGACUAAACGUAUUAACAAAAAUAUCGCAAUCAUAUUUUUUACUUUUCUUGCCCUUUAAGAACCCAUUCAUCCUUCAUUUGCACUGGACAUUCACCUGACAGGUCCUCCCAUUGAGGGUUUCUGAGAUCUUCACGCAGAGGGGUAUCGUAUCAGAGUAAAACUAUCCGACUUUGAUGCCAUAUGCACUGCCAACAGCAAAUGCCUGGAGUAUGGAUAGAGCCAAGCCUGACAGGAGACUGCAAUAAUCUGAUCCUCACGUCAGACCAAUGUAUUCCAAAUAUAAUCAUGCUUCUGCCAUUGAGUGUUCAAUUUAUUCUUAUCUUGCUUUUCAUUAGCAUUUUGACAGUUACUUAUAAGGCAAAGCCAACAGUAGAGACACUUUUUGUUUCCAGCAACAUUUAGUGGUUGGUGACAUAUUUACACUGAAUGCCAUUGAAUGUUGCUAAAGGGUACAAGUCUACAUCAGAUCGUGGUAGUGAGUAGUCUGUCAACUUCACGUUAGAUACUGAUAUGCGGUACAAGUGUAGGCUGGACAAGUAAAGUAAUUGUUUUUCUUGAUAUUAACUACUGAUAUUAAGUGUAGUAUCAGUUUGAUUUUUCACUAAAUGCUGACAUUGAGUACAUUACUUUUAUUAAAUACUGUUAUCAAGUGACAUGGAUAUAACGUUUUACAGUUUGGGAUAUGGAAUUUUGUGUCAGUUUUUUGCUGGAGACAAAUGAUUGUUUCUGCUGGUCUUUGCCUUCAUUCAUUAUAUAUUUUACACAAUAUGCAUUCCUUGCAGUCAAAAGGGUUGUGUAGCAAACUGUAACUGAUGCCAGUAACACUGUGAAGUGAUAGCUGUAUCGUUGCACGUCAUCUCACAUCAUCGAUUGUCCAAUAUAUCUCCAUUCUAUUACCAUACAUGCCCUGGACCCACAAAACUAAGAAUAGCAUAUAAUAAUACUAUGGGAAAACUUGCCCUAAAAAUCAUUUAUUAAAGUCUUCAGAAUCGGUUAAAUGUAUCAAGAGCAUUUUUUAGGAAGGCGCAAUUUUUCAUUUAGAUCUAUGCCAACCUCUUUCAGAAUACUCGGUUUGAUUGGUUGUUGAUUUGAAUGUGAGGAAUUCUCUCCUGCGUUAGUGAUAGAGAGAUUGAGCAUGUGGCGUCACUUCACACACUAAUCUAUGGUGGCAAAUGUGUUAAAAUAGAAUGGAGAGGCAAUAUAUUUGAUUAUCAAGGAUGGUUGUCUUGUGAAAUUUUGCUAUUUUGUAUUUAUAUCUACUCCUCUUUUAUAUUACAAUUUAUGUUAAUGAUUGUGUCACAAGAUUGCUUGUUAGAGCUGUGCAGAGUGCCAGUUGAAAAUGCCUUCCAUUUUGUGUCACGGCAAUCGUUCAGUUUACAGUUUAAGGGUAUUUUUGCAGAUGCUAUGCUCGUGUUUUCUAAUGUAUGUCAAAUAAUUUCCUGUCAAGCUUGUUGAAUCUUGGAGUUCAGUAUGAUUGCCAAUUCCUCCAUGUAUUCUGAUCAUUUUGUGCCCUGGGGCUGAGGACUCCUGAAUGGGGUUCGGGUGAGUCCCAUUGUGCAGUGUGUCCCUUCACGUGGGAACAAGGUUCUCCAUGAUACGUCAGGUAAACGAAGGAGCAACUUCUUGACAGGUUUUCUAUUUGUAAAAAAUUCAUGAUCGACCAAAUACUCAUCCAAACUAUUUUCUUAUCGGUCUGGAUUUUCUGAUCUUUGUUUAUCUCACUGGAAGUCACUGUCGAUGAUGAUGUAACGAUUUAUAUUCAUAAACAUGUCUUGCCUGUUAUGACAACCUUGGUAACAAAAGGUUACGGUAAUCAUCUUCUCAUUCUUGUGAUGGACACUGAAGGAAUUAUUUUUGUCCAAUCUGACAAAUGUAGAUCUGGUUUCCUACCGUGAGAACUGAUAUCUUAGAGGUGUGUCAUUCACCUAAUUCUCUGCAAAUAUUCUCACUUUAAAACUUGCAACAACCGAAAUAUGAAAGGCCUUAUCAGCCUCAUCCACUAUAUGGUUUUGAUUGUCUGGUUCAGAAUCGAUUUUUUACAGACCGUCGUCAUACAGCCGGAAUGUUGCUGAGUGUCUUUCAACACACACACAAACAGGUUAUGGCACCUGUUGUCAGUUCACAUUUUCAUUGUCUUCAGACCCAUUAGAGACCAAUGAAGCUGAUGCUAAGGGGAUGAUCUUCUUUAUGCUCGCCUCAAGUCAUCUUCUUGCAAAGUGUAGUUUGGUUUCCAUGGCAACCAUGUUUAAAAUGGUAUCGUAAGCUGUAGGCCUUAUGUUUACACUUUACUUUCAUGAGAGUUUGUAUAUGAAUUGAAUUUAAUAGGUCUUCUUUGGUAAAGUCUUCUUCCUAGUACACAGUAUUUUGAUUUUUUAGUUCCAGUCCUGAACUGACAAUCCCUAGAUGGCUGGUCAAUGUUGUCUGUAUUGUAUGUAAACAUAUGUUAGUGUAAAAUUGGCGUCCUUAACCACUGCAGAGUCCAAAACACAAUGUAGUUGGUGAUAAUCCCAGCAUCAAAGUGCAAAUACGAUAUUUAUUUCUUUUUCAUAACUUUUUUUGAAGUUUUUUUAACUUCCAGUGUGGAUUUAUGUGACUUUUUCUCCAGGUAAAAACAUACCUGUUUUGUUGUGUAUGAUUGCUAUGGCACAAUGCUGUCCAUGGACAAUUAUGUGAUGUCAACUUCUGUUUUUAUAAUGAAAUCAUAAGUUAUGUUUAUCUUCUUGGCAGAGAAUUUGCUUGAAGUUAUUCAUUGUUUCCGCAAGAAGUACUCCUAUAAUGUCCUCUGCAAUAUGUCAGUGGCUUACCUUUUAUCGUUUGUUUUAAAAAGUUGACAAAAAUGAAUACUGUGUUGUAACGAGGAUUCCAAAUGCAUGACCAUUUCCGAACAUCUUUCAACAUACAAGUCUACAUUCCUUGGCAUAUUACAUAAAUACUACAAGUCAGUAUUAUCAUGAAGAAGUUCAUUCAUCGAGAAAGUUGAAAUUAUCGGGAUUUUUUCAGUAUGAUAUUUCCCGUUGCAUUUUAUUUUUUUUCAGAAAGCUUUCUUUCGAAUCAUGACUUCGAUACCAUUGAACUCUCUUCGCUAGUAAACCCUUUGUCAUUUAUAACAAAUGUGACUUUACUAAGUUAGGAAGCUGAACAACUUAUCUGAGUGUCAGUUUGUCUGAUGAUUUCUGAUGAUCAUGUCUUUGUUGCAUUUUACAUAGUUCUGUUGAUAGAAGGAUAGAUAUAUCCUGUACUUGUCCAGGGAUUGCACCAUUUUGUUGCAUAUCAGUUGCAUAGUCCUACCCUGAUGAUGAAUUCUUAUUGUUAUUGAUGCACCUGAGCUAAAGGACAUUGUAUUAAUGCCACAGCAUAAUGACUACUUGUUUGUCAAAAUUGCAGCAUUCUUAUCUUUGGUGGUGUUUUUACAGGAGAUUAUGUAGCUUCAAGACUGCCAUCCAAGCCGAGAUGGUGGAACAUUGUGUCAUCGUACCCUGACUGCGUGAACCUUUGUUCAUGCUAUCAACCACUGAUCGGCCAUGCCUGGACUCAAUUGUUUACAAGCAAUUCAGAACAGCUAGAAUAUGGACCACUGCAACAUUAAUCAAAAGCCAUGCAUUGCAUGAAACCUGACUGUUGAUUCAAAUAUGGGCAAUGCGUUGUUAAAUAUAGACAAGGACAAUUUAACAUGCGUGCAUCCACUGGAAACUCAUGAAUUGUUAUGAGUAAUUUGUCGUUAAGUAUUUAAAUACUAGUAUUCAACACCAGCUCAAUUUUUAACCAAGCAAUCUGACAAACAGUUUUCAGUUUGUUGUGGCCUGACCAUGUUAGGGUGGAAUGAUUGAACAGUACCAUAAGAACAAGUGCUGUUGUAAAACUGAUGAAUGACACAGGGAGCAUUCAUUGUACUGUACAGAUGCAGUGCUAUAGAAUACAAUGCAUAGAAUAGUGUACAUAGAUCAAGUUAUAUGCCUUCAAGUAUAUGUUGUUUCAUACAAGUGAUGUGUAUCUAUUUUAUGGCAGUAUUGUUCAUGUUCCUGAAGUUUGGAACAAAUCAUCCUAGAGCAAAUUGUGUAUAUUUGCCCACUGUGUACAAGUGAUUGUAUACUCAACCUAAAAAAAAAGUUACAAUAAAGAUAGUUAGAAUGUUA
rnacentral:misc_RNA from 1 species